ACUCCAUGAUAUACGCAAAAUGACAGGCAUAUAAUGGAACUUAUAAGUGAUAUCAUCUUACCACUGAAAAGU